rnacentral:rRNA from 1 species
AUGAUCUCCUCUUAUGUGGCUGUUCUUGGGGAAGAAUUCUUUGCUCCAUGGAAUAAUGGUAGCUGCAACAGUGGGAGCUGUCAUUGCAGAGUGCUAGUCUAUCUUCACAUGGCCGAGUUCAGUUGCCUAAGAAUACAGUAUCCUAACAGCAAAAGUCUCAUCAGGGAAGAGUAUUCCUAUGGAAGAUUUCCUGGCCAAUGGUUCUGGAGCACUCUACUAUUGACAAGACACCUAAUUCCUGUAGAAACACUGAGGUUCUUCGCACAAGCUAAAGCUACAACAGGGAUGAAGGUUGAAGCUCCAACCUUCUGUUGCGUCCGCUACCUUGAUCAAGACCCCACCGGCCACAACUACUACAUUGUUCUUAUUCAAGUGCAUUCCGUCAUCAACUAUGGCUACCACGACGAGCCCAUUACCGCCAGCAAAAUUCAAGUGCCAUGGGAUCCUGGUGGUUCAACGUGGCGUCGGCUUGAGGUCAAGCCAAAAAUUAAGGAGGGGGGAAUGUUAGCGACUUCCCUUUCUCUCGCAUGGGAUCGAUAA